CGACCAAAUAGUACGGGCUACGAAGUUAUAGCCCGAGUCACCCGGAAUCGGAGCGCUCCUAUUGGUUGAUAAUUUCGCGUCGUCUGCUCUGGUCUGCAGUCAAGUAAACAACACAACUAGAUGCAAAUAUGGAGGAUUAUUACGAAUAAAAACAUAUAUUAAGUCUGUUUUUGAAGGCAUAUUUCAUAAAAUAAUUGGAAAGGAGGAAAUUUACACAUUAUUGGCUAGCAGCUUGGACUUCUUCCAGUCCUAUCUGAAUCAAAACUAUGGCCACAUCGAGAUGGCUGGUUUAGCAGUAGAAGUCACCACAGAGGGUCAUGUGUGGACUACUGAUGCAACAAAAGUGAAAUUUAUUUGGGAUUAAAAGUUAACAGACCGUUGUGCAACCCGGUGAUAAUCUUGUAUUAAAGAAGUUCUUAUGUGGCAAGCACAAGUUAUGAAGUUAGUGAAGGCUAUUAUUAAUACAUCAGAUGACUUUUGUUGCUGCGAGAGUGCCGACCAUGUUCAUCUACUGAAGCUGCAAUGACAUCCACUAUCUCAUAGAAUGUUCUAUGAGCAGUAUUUUGAGAAAAAUUAUAUCUGUCAUCAGCAGCUAAGAAUGUCUCUGGUUUGCUCAACAUCCAAACUGUAAAAAGUAUUUUCUCCUCAAGAGGUAUUUUUAUAUUUGCAGGCUGAUUAAUUCUCCUUCCUAUAACUUCUAAUAGCACAUAAAAAUGUUGAUGUUAAUUUUUGUAAAAUUGGAAUUUAAUAAAAAACAAACAAUCUACCAAUUUUCGAUUUGAAAUACACCAUGUUUGGUUUUUCGUAUGGCCUAUAUCUUACAGUACCUCUAUUAUACGCUCAUAUG